CCAUAGUCAGGGUGGGCCUUCGGGCGGAGCCUGGACGCGGUAUAGCCGGUAGUCACGCGUUACGAAAGAACACCGGCAGUC
rnacentral:sRNA from 24 species